GAUGAACGCUGGCGGCGUGCCUAAUACAUGCAAGUCGAGCGAACAGACGAGGAGCUUGCUCCUCUGACGUUAGCGGCGGACGGGUGAGUAACACGUGGAUAACCUACCUAUAAGACUGGGAUAACUUCGGGAAACCGGAGCUAAUACCGGAUAAUAUAUUGAACCGCAUGGUUCAAUAGUGAAAGACGGUUUUGCUGUCACUUAUAGAUGGAUCCGCGCCGCAUUAGCUAGUUGGUAAGGUAACGGCUUACCAAGGCAACGAUGCGUAGCCGACCUGAGAGGGUGAUAGGCCACACUGGAACUGAGACACGGUCCAUACGCCUACGGUAGGCAGCAGUAGGGAAUCUUCCGCAGUGGGCGAAAGCUUGACGGAGCAACGCCGCGUGAGUGAUGAAGGUCUUCGGAUCGUAAAACUCUGUUAUUAGGGAAGAACAAAUGUGUAAGUAACUAUGCACGUCUUGACGGUACCUAAUCAGAAAGCCACGGCUAACUACGUG
rnacentral:rRNA from 1 species